GCGGACGUAGCUCAGCUGGUAGAGCGCAACCUUGCCAAGGUUGAGGUCGCGAGUUCGAACCUCGUCGUCCGCUCCA
rnacentral:tRNA from 9 species